CCUACGGGCGGCAGCAGUGAGGAAUAUUGGUCAAUGGGCGGAAGUCUGAACCAGCCAAGUAGCGUGCAGGAUGACUGCCCUAUGGGUUGUAAACUGCUUUUAUAUGGGAAUAAAGUGUCCUACGUGUAGGGUUUUGUAUGUACCAUAUGAAUAAGGAUCGGCUAACUCCGUGCCAGCAGCCGCGGUAAUACGGAGGGUCCGGGCGUUAUCCGGAUUUAUUGGGUUUAAAGGGAGCGUAGGUGGAUUGUUAAGCCAGUUGUGAAAGUUUGCGGCUCAACCGUAAAAUUGCAGUUGAAACUGGCAGGCUUGAGUACAGUAGAGGUGGGCGGAAUUCGUGGUGUAGCGGUGAAAUGCUUAGAUAUGACGAAGAACUCCGAUUGCGAAGGCAGCUCGCUGCAGUGGAACUGACACUGAGGCUCGAAAGUGCGGGUAUCAAACAGGAUUAGAUACCCCUGUAGUC
rnacentral:rRNA from 1 species